GACGAACGCUGGCGGCGUGCUUAACACAUGCAAGUCGAACGGUGACCUCGAGAGCUUGCUCUCGGGUGAUCAGUGGCGAACGGGUGAGUAACACGUGAGUAACCUGCCCCAGACUCUGGAAUAACCCCGGGAAACCGGAGCUAAUACCGGAUACGAGGCGGAGUCGCAUGGCUACCGUCUGGAAAGUUUUUUCGGUCUGGGAUGGACUCGCGGCCUAUCAGCUAGUUGGUGAGGUAACGGCUCACCAAGGCGACGACGGGUAGCCGGCCUGAGAGGGCGACCGGCCACACUGGGACUGAGACACUGCCCAGACUCCUACGGGAGGCAGCAGUGGGGAAUAUUGCACAAUGGGCGAAAGCCUGAUGCAGCGACGCCGCGUGAGGGAUGACGGCCUUCGGGUUGUAAACCUCUUUCAGCAGGGAAGAAGCGAAAGUGACGGUACCUGCAGAAGAAGCACCGGCUAACUACGUGCCAGCCGCCGCAGUAACAC
rnacentral:rRNA from 1 species